UACGUAGGGGGCGAGCGUUGUCCGGAGUUACUGGGCGUAAAGGGCAUGCAGGCGGUCCGACACGUUUUGUGUGACAGCGGGUGGCUUAACUACCCGAGGAUGCGAAAGACGGUUGGACUUGAGGACUCGAGAGGGACACGGAAUUCCGGGUGGAGUGGUGAAAUGCGUAGAGAUCCGGAGGAACACCGAAGGCGAAGGCAGUGUCCUGGCGAGUGACUGACGCUGAGGUGCGAAAGCCAGGGGAGCAAACGGG
rnacentral:rRNA from 1 species